UCCACGCCGUAAACGAUGAUCACUAGAUGUGAGUCUUGUUUUUCAGGAUUCGUAUCGUAGCUAACGCGUUAAGUGAUCCGCCUGGGGAGUACGGUCGCAAGAUUAAAACUCAAAGGAAUUGACGGGGGUCCGCACAAGCGGUGGAACAUGUGGUUUAAUUCGACACUACGCGAGGAACCUUACCUAGGUUUGACAUGUAAUCGCUAUCCGCCGAAAUGCGGAGUUUCAAGUUU
rnacentral:rRNA from 1 species